CCCCUCACAACGAUUUAUCUCCCUUUCACUGUUGACAUGGGCGAGCAAAUAAGGUUAGUUGGUGUUAUUAUUGGCACAGGUCUCGGAUGUCUUCUUAUGGUUAUCUUAUUAGGAAUCGUUAUCCAGACCUUCUGUGAAACUAACUGCUGCAGGCUAGAUCUUCACGAAGCUACAGACGACAGUAUCGAAGAUACAUCUCAACACCAACGUGAUGCUGUAGAUAAAUCAUAUCUAACAAGAAUCCGGCUUUGGAUUCACAGACAUUUAAAUCAGGUCUGAUACAACACCGGUUGUGAUUUGAAUAAAACAUAAACAUUCUACGUAAUACGAUUGCUUCGUUAUGUGACAUUAUUUUCAGAAGGAAUCAUUGAAUUUUUAUUCAUUUUAACACUUCAAUGUGACAACCAUUUUUUUUUUAAUUUGGUGGUCAUUUAGAAUCAUAAAUUCUGUACUUUAUUUAAAAACGUGUAUUAGAUUAUUUCAUUAUUUCAUAUCACUUUCUUGUAGGACAAACGUAAAAUUUCAUUAAAUCGUUAUUUUAAUUCACA